rnacentral:rRNA from 1 species
ACGGGAGGCAGCAGUGGGGAAUAUUGGGCAAUGGGGGAAACCCUGACCCAGCAACGCCGCGUGAAGGAAGAAGGCUUUCGGGUUGUAAACUUCUUUUACCAGGGACGAAGGACGUGACGGUACCUGGAGAAAAAGCCACGGCUAACUACGUGCCAGCAGCCGCGGUAAUACGUAGGAUGCAAGCGUUGUCCGGAUUUACUGGGUGUAAAGGGAGCGCAGGCGGGACUUCAAGUUGGAUGUGAAAUGUCGAGGCUUAACCUCGUCACUGCAUCCAAAACUGUAGUUCUUGAGUGGAGUAGAGGCAAGCGGAAUUCCGAGUGUAGCGGUGAAAUGCGUAGAUAUUCGGAGGAACACCAGUGGCGAAGGCGGCUUGCUGGGCUCUAACUGACGCUGAGGCUCGAAAGUGUGGGGAGCAAACAGGAUUAGAUACCCUGGUA